GAUGAACUUCAACAGGAGAUCUCUCUUUUUAGUCAGUUCCAACAUAAGCACAUAGUUCAGUAUUACGGCACAUUCAAGGUUAAAGUUAGGAAAUGGUUUGCAGUAUGUGUUGAAUGCCAAAGGGUCUUCGCCUGCUGAGGUUUUGGGAAUCGAUUACAAAUCAACGCUUAAGCCUGCACUUGACUCCUUUGCUGAUGACAUAAAUAAAAGCUCUAUGUCAAAGUUGGAAGAGUUGAUUUCUCUUCAGCAACAAUCAGUUGAAAAUGCCGCUAAAAUUGAAGCAAAAAGAAAUCGUCUUGCUGCACUUCAAUCCAGUAGUGAUGAAGUGGAAGCUCAAUUAAAUUUUUGAAGAAGGAAACACAAAACUACACCUCCAGAUGUGCAAUGGAAGCUAAGAAGUUGGUGGAGGAUGUUGAGAUAGAAACCCAUAAUGUAGAUAUUGUGGAAAGAGAAGUGGCAGAUGUUCUGGAGACGUCCAAAUUGAAGUUGCAGGAAGCAAUCAAGCAAAA